rnacentral:rRNA from 1 species
CAAACUGGAGAUGGCGACCGGCGCACGGGUGAGUAACACGUAUCCAACCUGCCGAUAACUCGGGGAUAGCCUUUCGAAAGAAAGAUUAAUACCCGAUGGCAUAAUAGAACCGCAUGGUUUGAUUAUUAAAGAAUUUCGGUUAUCGAUGGGGAUGCGUUCCAUUAGGCAGUUGGUGGGGUAACGGCCCACCAAACCUUCGAUGGAUAGGGGUUCUGAGAGGAAGGUCCCCCACAUUGGAACUGAGACACGGUCCAA